rnacentral:rRNA from 15 species
GCUACCUGGUUGAUCCUGCCAGUAGUC